UCUUGCGCAAUGGGCGAAAGCCUGACGCAGCAACGCCGCGUGAGGGAAGAAGGCCUUCGGGUUGUAAACCUCUUUCAGGAGGGACGAAGCCACCAGGGUUAAUAGCCUAUGGGGUGACGGUACCUUCAGAAGAAGCCCCGGCUAACUACGUGCCAGCAGCCGCGGUAAUACGUAGGGGGCAAGCGUUGUCCGGAAUCAUUGGGCGUAAAGCGCGUGUAGGCGGCUUGGUAAGUCUGGCGUGAAAUCUUGGGGCUCAACCCCAAGCCUGCGUUGGAUACUGCCUCGCUCGAGUCCGGGAGAGGAAAGCGGAAUUCCCAGUGUAACGGUGAAAUGCGCAGAUAUUGGGAAGAACACCGGUGGCGAAGGCGGCUUUCUGGAACGGUACUGACGCUGAGACGCGAA
rnacentral:rRNA from 1 species